rnacentral:rRNA from 1 species
CUAAGGAGACUGCCGGUGACAAACCGGAGGAAGGUGGGGAUGACGUCAAGUCAUCAUGGCCCUUACGGCCUGGGCUACACACGUGCUACAAUGGUCGGUACAAAGGGUUGCCCAGCCGCGAGGUGGAGCUAAUCCCAUAAAACCGAUCGUAGUCCGGAUCGCAGUCUGCAACUCGACUGCGUGAAGUCGGAAUCGCUAGUAAUCGUGAAUCAGAAUGUCACGGUGAAUACGUUCCCGGGCCUU